CCGACGGUGAGGGAUGAAAGCUGGGGGAGCAAACCGGAUUAGAUACCCGGGUAGUCCCAGCUGUAAACGAUGCAAACUCGAUGAUGCGUUGGCUUAUUGCUAGCGCAGUGUCGCAGGGAAGCCGUUAAGUUUGCCGCCUGGGAAGUACGUACGCAAGUAUGAAACUUAAAGGAAUUGGCGGGGGAGCACCACAAGGGGUGAAGCCUGCGGUUCAAUUGGAGUCAACGCCUGAAAUCUUACCCGGAGAGACAGCAGAAUGAAGGUCAAGCUGAAGACUUUACCAGACAAGCUGAGAGGUGGUGCAUGGCCGUCGCCAGCUCGUGCCGUGAGAUGUCCUGUUAAGUCAGGUAACGAGCGAGAUCCCUGCCUCUAGUUGCCACUAUUACACCCUGGUGUAGUAGGGCGAAUUAGGGGGACCGCCGCAGUUAAUGCGGAGGAAGGAAGGGGCCACGGCAGGUCAGUAUGCCCCGAAACUCUGGGGCCACACGCGGGCUGCAAUGGUAGCGACAAUGAGUUCCAAAAUCGAAAGAUGGAGGUAAUCCCUAAACGCUACCACAGUUGUGAUUGAGGGCUGCAACUCGCCCUCAUGAACAUGGAAUCCCUAGUAACCGCGUGUCAUUAUCGCGCAGUGAAUACGUCCCUGCUCCUUGCACUCACCGCCCGU
rnacentral:rRNA from 1 species